GACGAACGCUGGCGGCGUGCCUAACACAUGCAAGUCGAACGGUAAGUGCCGGCGUUUGUGGGCUGCCCGAGUGGCGAACGGGGGAGUAACACUUGAGUAACUUGCCUUUGCCUUUGGGAUACCUUCAGGAAAGUGGGGUUAUUCCCGAAUAGGAGCCCUUGCUGCAUGUUUGGGGAUUGAAAGUCGCGACGGUUGGGAAUGGAAUCGCGGGUUCUCAGCUUGUUGGUGGGGGGGUGCCUUACCCAGGCUUUGACGGGUAGCCGGCCUGGGAGGGUGACCGGCCACAUGGGGAAUGAGAUACGGCCCAGGCUCCUACGGGAGGCAGCAGUGGGGAAUAUUGCACAAUGGGCGGAAGCCUGAGGCAGCAACGCCGCGUGCGGGAUGACGGCCUUCGGGUUGUAAACCGCUUUCGCCUGUGACGAAGCGUGAGGGACGGUAAUGGGUAAAGAAGCACCGGCUAACUACGU
rnacentral:rRNA from 1 species